UUUACACUAAAACUUGAA
rnacentral:miRNA from 1 species